rnacentral:rRNA from 1 species
GUCUACGGCCAUACCACCCUGAAUGCGCCCGAUCUCGUCUGAUCUCGGAAGCUAAGCAGGGUCGGGCCUGGUUAGUACUUGGAUGGGAGAAAUCAGAAGAAUGUACCUC